CCUACGGGAGGCAGCAGUGGGGGAUAUUGCACAAUGGGCGAAAGCCUGAUGCAGCGACGCCGCGUGAGGGAAGACGGUCUUCGGAUUGUAAACCUCUGUCUAUGGGGAAGAAAAUGACGGUACCCAAAGAGGAAGCUCCGGCUAACGACGUGCCAGCAGCCGCGGUAAUACGGAGGGAGCAAUCGUUGUCCGGAAUGACUGGGUGUACAGGGAGCGGAGGCGGGAUGGCAAGUAGAAUGUUAAAUCCCUCGGCUCACCCGGUGGCUGCGUUCUAAACUGCCGUUCUUGAGUGCAGUAGAGGCAGGCGGAAUUCCUAGUGUAGCCGUUACAUGCGUAGAUAUUAGGAGGAACCCCAGUGGCGAAGGCGGCCUGCUGGGCUUUACCUGACGCUGAGGCUCGAAAGCGUGGGGAGCAAACAGGAUUAGAUACCCGUGUAGUC
rnacentral:rRNA from 1 species